rnacentral:rRNA from 1 species
GACGCAGCAACGCCGCGUGUGUGAUGAAGGUCUUCGGAUUGUAAAGCACUUUCGACCGGGACGAAACCCUUCAGCCCAAUACGCUGAAGUCUGACGGUACCGGGAAGAAGAAGCACCGGCUAACUCUGUGCCAGCAGCCGCGGUAAUACAGAGGGUGCAAGCGUUGUUCGGAAUUAUUGGGCGUAAAGCGCGUGUAGGCGGCUUUGCAAAGUCGGGUGUGAAAGCCCUCGGCUCAACCGAGGAAGUGCGCCCGAAACUGCAGAGCUUGAGUGCCGGAGAGGGUGGCGGAAUUCCCCAAGUAGAGGUGAAAUUCGUAGAUAUGGGGAGGAACACCGGUGGCGAAGGCGGCCACCUGGACGGUAACUGACGCUGAGACGCGAAAGCGUGGGGAGCAAACAGGAUUAGAUACCCUGGUAGUCCACGCCGUAAACGAUGAGAACUAGGUGUCAUGGGUGUUGACCCCCGUGGUGCCGUAGCUAACGCAUUAAGUUCUCCGCCUGGGAAGUACGGUCGCAAGACUA